rnacentral:lncRNA from 1 species
UAUAUGCUCAUACCAUCAAAAACUUUGAGCCCUCUUCUUAGAUUACAACUCAUUAAUCUCUUAGGUGAGUUUGUAACAUCAAAUGUUUUAUUGAAUGUUAAUAUUUAAUCACAACGUAAUAGGUUGAAAUCUCUAAAGUGACCUGUUUGAUUGAAUUGUAUAACUAGAUCUAAGUCAACAAUUAGUGAUAAUAGUCAAUUGAUCUUUGAGUUCAUUUUAUAUGUGAUCAAGAUAAAAAAACAUUAAACACAAGUUAUUUUGUAUAAAGACUAGAAUUGAAUUUGUCUUGAAUAGAGUUUCACAAUUUACAUUGUUUAAACAACUAGAACAUAAUCAUCUUAGACUUAAUCAAAAGAAAUUUAGCUAUUAUGGUUAAAACACAAACAACCAGAUUAAAGAGCAUUAAAACAUUAACCCU